rnacentral:rRNA from 1 species
UUAUUUUUUAAUAAUUAAUUUUUAUAUAAUUUUUAUAUAAUUAAUAUUUUAGUUAUUUAUAGGAAUAAAUAUUAUAAUAUAAUAAUAUUUUAAUAAUGAUAAAAUAAGUAUUUUAUAUAUAUAAAAUAUAGUAACUCGGCAAAUAUUAUUUUCGCCUGUUUAACAAAAACAUGGUCUUUUGUUUAUAUAAAAGAUCUAACCUGCCCUAUGAUUUAUUUAAAUGGCUGCAGUAUUUUGACUGUACAAAGGUAGCAUAAUCAUUUGUCUUUUAAUUGAAGGCUUGUAUGAAUGGUUGGAUGAAAAAUAUACUUUCUUUAUUUUAUAUAAAAAAUUUAAUUUUCUAGUCAAAAAGCUAGGAUUUUUUUAUAGGACGAGAAGACCCUAUAGAACUUUAUUUUCUUUUUUUAUAAAUUUUAUAGAUAAAUAUAAGUUUAUAUAUUUUUGUUAAUUUUGUUGGGGUGAUUGAAAAAAUUUUUUAACUUUUUCUAUUUUUUACAUUUAUAUAUGUUUUUUUGAUCCUUUAUUAUGGAAUAAAAGAUUAAGUUACCUUAGGGAUAACAGCGUUAUUUUUUUGGAGAGUUCUUAUCGAUAAAAAAGUUUGCGACCUCGAUGUUGG